rnacentral:rRNA from 1 species
UACGUAGGGGGCGAGCGUUGUCCGGAUUCAUUGGGCGUAAAGAGCUCGUAGGCGGCUUUGCAAGUCGGGUGUGAAACCUCCAGGCUCAACCUGGAGUCGCCACUCGAUACUGCAAUGGCUAGAGUCCGGCAGGGGACCGUGGAAUUCCUGGUGUAGCGGUGAAAUGCGCAGAUAUCAGGAAGAACACCAGUGGCGAAGGCGGCGGUCUGGGCCGGUACUGACGCUGAGGAGCGAAAGCGUGGGGA